rnacentral:rRNA from 1 species
UCGAACGCGAAAGGGGCUUCGGCCCUGAGUAGAGUGGCGAACGGGUGAGUAACACGUGGGUGAUCUACCUUCGAGUGGGGGAUAACGUUCCGAAAGGAACGCUAAUACCGCAUGACGUUCUGGGUUUAAAGACCUGGAAACCAAAGCCGGGGACCGCAAGGCCUGGCGCUUGAAGAGGAGCCCGCGUCCGAUUAGCUAGUUGGCGGGGUAAUGGCCCACCAAGGCGACGAUCGGUAGCCGGCCUGAGAGGGCGGACGGCCACACUGGAACUGAGACACGGUCCAGACUCCUACGGGAGGCAGCAGUGGGGAAUUGUUCACAAUGGGCGCAAGCCUGAUGACGCAACGCCGCGUGGGGGAUGAAGGUCUUCGGAUUGUAAACCCCUGUCGAAUGGGACGAAUGGCCUCUGGGCUAAUCACCAGAAGAAUGACGGUACCGUUAAAGGAAGCCACGGCUAACUCUGUGCCAGCAGCCGCGGUAAUACAGAGGUGGCAAGCGUUG